GCCUUAGUAACGGCGAGUGAAGCGGCAAAAGCUCAAAUUUGAAAUCUGGCACCUUCGGUGUCCGAGUUGUAAUUUGAAGAAGGUAACUUUGGAGUUGGCUCUUGUCUAUGUUCCUUGGAACAGGACGUCACAGAGGGUGAGAAUCCCGUGCGAUGAGAUGCCCAAUUCUAUGUAAAGUGCUUUCGAAGAGUCGAGUUGUUUGGGAAUGCAGCUCUAAGUGGGUGGUAAAUUCCAUCUAAAGCUAAAUAUUGGCGAGAGACCGAUAGCGAACAAGUACAGUGAUGGAAAGAUGAAAAGAACUUUGAAAAGAGAGUGAAAAAGUACGUGAAAUUGUUGAAAGGGAAGGGCUUGAGAUCAGACUUGGUAUUUUGCGAUCCUUUCCUUCUUGGUUGGGUUCCUCGCAGCUUACUGGGCCAGCAUCGGUUUGGAUGGUAGGAUAAUGACUAAGGAAUGUGGCUCUACUUCGGUGGAGUGUUAUAGCCUUGGUUGAUACUGCCUGUCUAGACCGAGGACUGCGUCUUUUGACUAGGAUGUUGGCAUAAUGAUCUUAAGCCACCCGUCUUGAAA
rnacentral:rRNA from 1 species